rnacentral:rRNA from 1 species
UACGGGGGGGGUAAGCGUUGUUCGGAAUUACUGGGCGUAAAGGGCUCGUAGGCGGCCAACUAAGUCAUACGUGAAAUCCCUCAGCUUAACUGGGGAACUGCGUGUGAUACUGGAUGGCUUGGAUUUGGGAGAGGAACGCGGAAUUCCAGGUGUAGCGGUGAAAUGCGUAGAUAUCUGGAGGAACACCGGUGGCGAAGGCGGCAUCCUGGACCAAUAUUGACGCUGAGGAGCGAAAGCCAGGGGAGCAAACGGG